CAGGUGCGUGGUCAGGCGUUCGAGCAAGCCGUCGAGAGCGGUCUGGCGGAUGAUCUUCAGUUCGCCCUGGUGCAGGGCCUGGAACGCUUGAC
rnacentral:tRNA from 1 species